rnacentral:rRNA from 1 species
GACGAACGCUGGCGGCGUGCUUAACACAUGCAAGUCGAACGGAAAGGCCCUGCUUUUGUGGGGUGCUCGAGUGGCGAACGGGUGAGUAACACGUGAGUAACCUGCCCUUGACUUUGGGAUAACUUCAGGAAACUGGGGCUAAUACCGGAUAGGAGCUCCUGCUGCAUGGUGGGGGUUGGAAAGUUUCGGCGGUUGGGGAUGGACUCGCGGCUUAUCAGCUUGUUGGGGGGGUAGUGGCUUACCAAGGCUUUGACGGGUAGCCGGCCUGAGAGGGUGACCGGCCACAUUGGGACUGAGAUACGGCCCAGACUCCUACGGGAGGCAGCAGUGGGGAAUAUUGCACAAUGGGCGGAAGCCUGAUGCAGCAACGCCGCGUGCGGGAUGACGGCCUUCUGGUUGUAAACCGCUUUCGCCUGUGACGAAGCGUGAGUGACGGUAAUGGGUAAAGAAGCACCGGCUAACUACGUG